rnacentral:rRNA from 1 species
AGUGAACGCUGGCGGUAGGCCUAACACAUGCAAGUCGAACGGCAGCACAGUAAGAGCUUGCUCUUACGGGUGGCGAGUGGCGGACGGGUGAGGAAUACAUCGGAAUCUACUUUUUCGUGGGGGAUAACGUAGGGAAACUUACGCUAAUACCGCAUACGACCUACGGGUGAAAGCAGGGGAUCUUCGGACCUUGCGCGAUUGAAUGAGCCGAUGUCGGAUUAGCUAGUUGGCGGGGUAAAGGCCCACCAAGGCGACGAUCCGUAGCUGGUCUGAGAGGAUGAUCAGCCACACUGGAACUGAGACACGGUCCAGACUCCUACGGGGGGCAGCAGUGGGGAAUAUUGGACAAUGGGCGCAAGCCUGAUCCAGCCAUACCGCGUGGGUGAAGAGGGCCUUCGGGUUGUAAAGCCCUUUUGUUGGGAAAGAAAAGCAGCAGGUUAAUACCCCGCUGUUCUGACGGUACCCAAAGAAUAAGCACCGGCUAACUUCGUG